rnacentral:misc_RNA from 1 species
CACAUCGCCUACUUAUAGACUUUGAGAUCUUUUUAUAAUCUGUUAGCUCCUUCAACCUUAACACUUGGAUUUUAAGGUUGGGCUUGGAUUUCUAACAUGGUAUCGGAGCCUAAUCCCUUUCUUUUAGGUUGUUUCUCACAAGCUUAUGUGGAGAUGGGCUUUUAAAUGUUAACAAAAAUUCUUCUUAGCCUCUUAUCCAACAUUGCUUGCUUAUAGACUUUGGGACCUCUUUAUAACUUGUUAACCUGUCUACCCUUAACACCUGGGUUUUAAGGUUA